GACUCGGUAGCUUAGAUGGAAAAGCGCUUGUAUAGCGUAUAAGGGUCGUGAGUUCAAAUCUCACCUGAACUG
rnacentral:tRNA from 1 species